GUUGCUAUGUAAAUUAUUGUGUAAAUGUGAUCUUAUUUGUUAUGGUAAUACGAUGUGAGGUGAACACUUAAACAUGUGAAUAAUAUGCUAAUGAGUUUAUUUAUGUUUCAUGAAAAUGUUAGUAUGUUCUCAUAGUAAAUUGCGUAUGUAAUUGUGGUCUGGGUCGUUUCCAUUUAACUUGUGAAUAUGUAUGUGAAUAUAUCAACUAGACUUGUGAGUUAUUAAAGCAUGUAUAAGUUGUUUAGUCUUGAUGAAUUAUUGUUAAAUGAAUUAUAUAUGAGUUGAGUGUAAUUGCAUGUAGGAGUAUAUGUUACUUUUAUGACUUAAUGAAACGUGAAUAUGUUAUUUUGACUUGAUUUGAAUAUGGUUGUGAAUUUGUUGUAGUAUGCUAUUGUUUAACCUUUGAUAUUGUGUGUGCAUUGUGGUUAUUCUAAGCAUUCACUGAGCUAGUUAAGCUCACCCACUCCUUUUAAAACAUUGCAGAUUAGUUGUAUGCCGGUGUGAGCAGUGUGAUUUCCGAGGGGUGAUCCAAGCAAGAUGUUAGCUUUAUUUCGUAGGUGUUAUUAAUUCGUUUAUGUUUUGGGGAAAUAAAGACAAUGUGGUAGAAUUGUUGCAUAAAUUUUGCAUGAUAUUUUGGAUAUUUCCAUAGUUUAUUUGUUCUAGGGAUUUAAAGUUUGAAUCGUGAUAUGUUGAUUAUUGCUCAAACUUAUUCUUGAUGUUUGAAACUGUGAUUAUGACCGUUUUGAUGUUUAUUUGAUACGAUAAAAGAUGCAUGUUGAAUAGAUUUAUGUUGGAAUGGUUUAUAUGCUUAAAUAUGCUAAAUUUUUAUUGUAUUAAGCAGAGGUAUCAAUAUUUGUGUUUUAAAAACGACACCUCUUUGAUUUUCAAAUGUGCAGGAAGUCAGAAUCGUAAUUUGGUAUCGCUACCAUACCAUGAGUACUCAGGGCAGAAUUACCGAUACUUUUUGAAAUGUAACGAUAUUUUCCUGUGUUUCGAUUUUAGGUGAGAAGCAAAAUAUUGACUUGGUACCGAUUUUUCAAGCAGUACCGAUACCAUGUAAGAAAAUUAUUGAUACCUCAAUUUCAGUUUCGAUAUCUACGUGAUUGUUUUGGAAAUUUUGCUAAGUGGUUCUAAU
rnacentral:lncRNA from 1 species